AUGCUGCGUGGGCGAGAUGGGCCCUACGACGCCUCAUACGGGACAUCGUCCCAAGUCUCCCAGAUACACCUUCUGCCAUGUCCAAAUACUAAUGGCGCACCGCAUCCACGGUGCGCCACUAGUAAUUUUUUUUUCAAAAUUACUAAUGGCGCACCAGGGGAUAGUGCGCCAUUACUAGUUGAACUAGUAAUGGCGCACCACUCCCACGAUCUCGAGUGCUCCCUCACCGUCAUCUGCAACCUCGUCACCAAGGCCGGAUCCGAGGACGAGGCGCUGGAGAUCGCCAGGCUCAUCUGCGCCAAGCUCACCCAGCAGCCGGGCGAGAAGCCCAUGCUGCGCAUCAAAGUCCUGUUCAGCCUGUACAACCUGCUGUCGGGCCUCUCCGGCAAGGCCUUGGUCUACAGGAAGGCGCUCGAGCUCGCUGCCGCUGGGAAGGCCGCCGACUGCGUCGUGCCCACCUUCAAGAACAUCGACGCCUUUGUCGCCUACUGGGGCAUCGGCAAGCCGGAGCAGAGGGACCUGUUCCUUGCCGCGUACUUUAAGUUUCUGAACAAGUACCUGGCUACAUUCGAUGGUUCGUCUGAUGAGGCCGACGCAAUUGGUGCAGCGAAGGAAGAAGCUGCUGCAGCAAUCAUUGUGUUUGUCAAGUCAUCUGACCUCUAUCAGCAAUCAAAUAUCACUAUAUUAGAUACUCCUCUUCUGGUAUCCUUUCCUUUUUGGUUAAUACUUAGUCUGGUAUGUAAUUUCAGCCGGCAUACUGCGAGGGCCUUCGGGAUGCCACAAUGGCAGAGUCUACGUUCAAAGCUUGGAGUGUGGAGGGGAAACAUUGCAAAUGCUAUCAACACGAUCCAAGCUAGCAAGGUGACCGAAGAUGGCGGGCAGGGGAUGCAAGGAUUGAUGAUCCGCUGA
rnacentral:rRNA from 1 species